GGCAUCAGCACUGCUCCCAACACCGCCCGGGGCGCGCAGACGCGCCGCCUUUAAAGGUGUUGGCGAGACCCGCACGGGCCUGUGACCUCCGGGAGGCCCUGACGACCCUGGUUCUGCGUUAGGCAGAGCGAUCGGCCUGAUUCAUGGCUCCCAACCGUCCUGCUGCUUCGCUCCCCGCUCCCCCUGGCUUUUUGAGCCAGGUCAAGCUGAGCCCGAGCGUCAGAUCCUCUGUGACACAGACCACCACCUUGAGAGCAAAGAACAUGAAUAAAUGCCAUUACAGCACCGUAAGGAGAGAGGAAGAAAAUCAGAUCCAAUGAAGUGAAAAAAUAUACCUGACAUCUCCAUCUGGUGUCUAAUAGACAUCUCGGAAUUAACAUGGACAAACCAGGCCCCGGGUCACCUGCCCUAAAUGUACCCCACCCACAGCCUUCCCCUUUCCAGUUAAUGCCAUCUACACCCUUCCAGUUGCCCAGCUGAAAAAACGUCGGAGUCUUUCUUGACUCUUUCCUUUCUCUGACACUCCACAGGGUCAAUAAUCCUACCUGCUCUGACCUUCAAAGUACUAUAUCUGGGAUCUAACCUCCACCUACCACUUCUACUGCCAUGACCCUGGUCUUAGUCAGCAGCAACUUUUGCCUGUACUUUGCAAUAACCACCUACCUGGUCUCCCUCUUAAGGCGCUUGCCUCCAGCAGUAUACUUCGAGUCUUUUGGGUCCAGCUCAAGUCACUCCUCUGCUAAAAAGUAAAAAUAAAAAACCCAUUGGCUCCCCAUCUCAUUUACGCUGAAAGCCAGAGUCCUUACCAUGGCCUAAAUUCCUGUGGACAGGGUCCCCACCACCCCUUCUCUCUCUGACCUACUAGUACUGCUACUACUACUACUCUAUCCUUGGCUCGUUUUCCCAGCCCCUUGGCCUCCAUGCUGUUUCUGCAACACAAGGAGCAAGCUCCGGUCUUAUGCCCUUUCCAUUUGCUGUGUGCUCUGCCGCCUGAAUUAUCUCCCCACUCCCCCCAGCCCACCAAAAACAAAACAAAACCUAGAACGUUGUUCCCUCACCUCCUUAAUAUCUGUAUUCAAAUGUCAUUUUCCCUGUAACUUCACGUGCCUUAGCUCUCUCCCUUUUCUUACCACCACCUAACAUAUUAUAAUUUCACCUAUUUGUUUUAUUUAUUGUUUGUCUCCCUCCACUGUAACGUAUGCUGCUGAAGUCAAUGAUUUUUGUUCCCUUUUUUGCAGCUAUUUCCAAAGACACAGUGUAAAUGAAUUAAUAACCAUAGCGUCACAUUUUGUGUGUGAGAGAUUGUUAUAUAUAUUAUCUCACUUGGGGCGGGGGGGCAGCAGAGAGGCUGGGAGAGAAAUCCUCUCUGAACCUGUUUUCUGUUCUAUAAUAAAGGAGUAAGAACUGCAUGCCCCAAA